rnacentral:rRNA from 1 species
UACGAAGGGGACUAGCGUUGUUCGGAAUCACUGGGCGUAAAGCGCACGUAGGCGGAUGUGUCAGUCAGGGGUGAAAUCCCGGGGCUCAACCUCGGAAUUGCCUUUGAUACAGCACGUCUCGAGUCCGGAAGAGGUGGGUGGAAUUCCUAGUGUAGAGGUGAAAUUCGUAGAUAUUAGGAAGAACACCGGUGGCGAAGGCGGCCCACUGGUCCGGUACUGACGCCGAGGUGCGAAAGCGUGGGGAGCAAACAGG